rnacentral:tRNA from 1 species
GCGGCCAUAGCUCAGCUGGUUAGAGCGCUCGCCUGUCACGCGAGAGGUCGGCGGUUCAAAUCCGCUUGGCCGCG